rnacentral:rRNA from 1 species
GCAAGUCGCGCGGUAACACAGAGAGCUUGCUCUCGGGUGACAAGCGGCGGACGGGUGAGUAACGCGUAGGAAUCUACCUAGUAGUGGGGGAUAGCCCAGAGAAAUUUGGAUUAAUACCGCAUACGCCCUAAGGGGGAAAGAAGGGGAUCUAUUUAUAGACCUUUUGCUAUCAGAUGAGCCUGCGUAAGAUUAGCUAGUUGGUGGGGUAAAGGCCCACCAAGGCGACGAUCUUUAGCUGUUCUGAGAGGAUGAUA